rnacentral:rRNA from 1 species
GACAUAGGUGGCGAACGUUAUCCGGAUUUAUUGGGCGUAAAGGAUGCGUAGGCGGCUUGAUAAGUUAUCAGUGGGAAAUCGAGGCUCAACCUCGUGGAAGUUGAUAAUACUGUCCAGCUUGAGUGCAGGAGAGGUUAACGGAACUCCAUGUGGAGCGGUAAAAUGUGACGAUAUAUGGAAGAACACCAAUAAGGCGAAGGCAGUUAACUAUUCUGUUACUGACGUUGAGGCAUGAAAGCGUGGGGAGCAAAACGG